GGCCGGUUGGCCCAAUGGCAAGGCGUCUGACUACGAUCAUGUAUGGUAUCAGGAGAUUCUGGGUUCGACCCCCAGGCUGGUCA
rnacentral:tRNA from 1 species